GAUGAACGCUGGCGGCGUGCCUAAUACAUGCAAGUCGAACGAGUUCUCGUUGAUGAUCGGUGCUUGCACCGAGAUUCAACAUGGAACGAGUGGCGGACGGGUGAGUAACACGUGGGUAACCUGCCCUUAAGUGGGGGAUAACAUUUGGAAACAGAUGCUAAUACCGCAUAGAUCCAAGAACCGCAUGGUUCUUGGCUGAAAGAUGGCGUAAGCUAUCGCUUUUGGAUGGACCCGCGGCGUAUUAGCUAGUUGGUGAGGUAAUGGCUCACCAAGGCGAUGAUACGUAGCCGAACUGAGAGGUUGAUCGGCCACAUUGGGACUGAGACACGGCCCAAACUCCUACGGGAGGCAGCAGUAGGGAAUCUUCCACAAUGGACGCAAGUCUGAUGGAGCAACGCCGCGUGAGUGAAGAAGGCUUUCGGGUCGUAAAACUCUGUUGUUGGAGAAGAAUGGUCGGCAGAGUAACUGUUGUCGGCGUGACGGUAUCCAACCAGAAAGCCACGGCUAACUACGUGCCAGCAGCCGCGGUAAUACGUAGGUGGCAAGCGUUAUCCGGAUUUAUUGGGCGUAAAGCGAGCGCAGGCGGUUUUUUAAGUCUGAUGUGAAAGCCCUCGGCUUAACCGAGGAAGCGCAUCGGAAACUGGGAAACUUGAGUGCAGAAGAGGACAGUGGAACUCCAUGUGUAGCGGUGAAAUGCGUAGAUAUAUGGAAGAACACCAGUGGCGAAGGCGGCUGUCUGGUCUGUAACUGACGCUGAGGCUCGAAAGCAUGGGUAGCGAACAGGAUUAGAUACCCUGGUAGUCCAUGCCGUAAACGAUGAAUGCUAGGUGUUGGAGGGUUUCCGCCCUUCAGUGCCGCAGCUAACGCAUUAAGCAUUCCGCCUGGGGAGUACGACCGCAAGGUUGAAACUCAAAGGAAUUGACGGGGGCCCGCACAAGCGGUGGAGCAUGUGGUUUAAUUCGAAGCAACGCGAAGAACCUUACCAGGUCUUGACAUCUUUUGAUCACCUGAGAGAUCAGGUUUCCCCUUCGGGGGCAAAAUGACAGGUGGUGCAUGGUUGUCGUCAGCUCGUGUCGUGAGAUGUUGGGUUAAGUCCCGCAACGAGCGCAACCCUUAUGACUAGUUGCCAGCAUUUAGUUGGGCACUCUAGUAAGACUGCCGGUGACAAACCGGAGGAAGGUGGGGAUGACGUCAAAUCAUCAUGCCCCUUAUGACCUGGGCUACACACGUGCUACAAUGGAUGGUACAACGAGUUGCGAGACCGCGAGGUCAAGCUAAUCUCUUAAAGCCAUUCUCAGUUCGGACUGUAGGCUGCAACUCGCCUACACGAAGUCGGAAUCGCUAGUAAUCGCGGAUCAGCACGCCGCGGUGAAUACGUUCCCGGGCCUCAUACACACCGCCCGUCACACCAUGAGAGUUUGUAACACCCGAAGCCGGUGGCGUAACCCUUUUAGGGAGCGAGCCGUCUAAGGUGGGACAAAUGAUUAGGGUG
rnacentral:rRNA from 1 species